rnacentral:rRNA from 1 species
GACGAAGGGGGCAAGCGUUGUUCGGAAUUACUGGGCGUAAAGUGUGCGCAGGCGGCAGAGCAAGUCGAGUGUGAAAGCCCCGGGCUUAACUUGGGAAUUGCGCUCGAAACUACUUUGCUGGAGUGUGGCAGAGGAAGGUGGAAUUCCACGUGUAGCGGUGAAAUGCGUAGAGAUGUGGAGGAACACCAAUGGCGAAGGCAGCCUUCUGGGCCAACACUGACGCUCAUGCACGAAAGCGUGGGGAGCAAACAGG